CCCAUAGUGCUAUAUAUCCAUCUUUUGCAGCUGUAGCCAUUAUAUACUUAUCAUCAUAAGUUUUCAUUUUUUGUGUAGAAAAGUUGUUACCUGUAUUUGAUCAGAGGGCCCUCCAAUAAUACCUUUCAUCAAAACAGUAUCAAAAUCCAAUGACAUUGGGCAGGAUUCUAUUAAAAUGUUUGAAACCUGCCAUGGAUAUGAUAAAGAGUUACCUUGCUUUAUUUCUAUAUACAUGUAUG